rnacentral:lncRNA from 1 species
UAGAAUUUGCUUGUAGCUAUUUACCUGAGUGAGCAUCAUGCAUCAUGUCUAAAUUCUGAAAGUUGAAUUGAGGUUAGUUGAAACCCUCAUAAAUCACUUCAAAAAUAAUUAACAUUAAAAUCUUUUCAAAGAAGUCCAAGAAAAUGUUCGUCUUAGUCUCUGAAAAUAUUGGCAAGAGGUAAAACCUAAAACAAUAUUUUUUGGAAUCUCAGAGAUAUUUAUUUUGGGCCUUUGAUUUAAUCCAAUAAAUAUUUGAAUUGGAUCUAUAUUUAUUAUAUAAUAAAUAUAUGUUCAAUAAUUCUGAAAAUUGUUGUGUGGAUUUGGAUAAAUCCAUUUAGUUCACACAAUUAUUUAUAUGAAUUUUGAAAAUGGUUUGGUCUUGAACUAAAUCAAAACAUAAUAGCAAAAAUAGAAAAACAGAACAAAAAUAGAAAUAGGAGAGAGAGAGGUUACCUGUGGCUUACCUGGUGCCCACUUGGCCCAGCACGGCCCAGCCCACCAGAGCCAGGCGCCAGUCGUCUCCUUCCUUUGCCAGGAGGACGACGGUGUGGCGCACGCACAGGAGGCAAAGCCACCUCCUGCUUCCUCCCACUCCGAUCCGUCGCGUUUGGAAACGCCCGAGCCCCCUGGUCCUUCCCCUCUCUCACAGCUCACUCUCCCCUCCUCUCCCUCCUCUGCUCUCUCCCCACGACGCCACCGAACACGCCCAUCGUCGCCGUUGGCCGUAGCCGCGACCACCGUACCUCCCUAGCCCAUCCAACAUGCUCGAGAGCUCCGCCUCAACCCCCUCUUUCUUCCACCCCAAGCCACACCACCGCGGGAGCCCCACAUCGCCGCCACAAGUCGUCUUCCCCGAGCACGGCCGCCGGACUCCAUCGACGAAUUCGUCGCCUCCCGGUCGUCCCCGAGCCAGCUGAGCUCCGCUUCGACCUCACUGUGAGCUCCUGCGUCGAAAACCCCUCUCCCCCGAGCUCGUUACGCCCUGUAGCCGUCGCCCCCUUGCCGACCAAAUCACGCCGCCGCCUGAGCUCCUCACCGCUGUGGCCACGCCCACUGGAGCUUGAAACUGAGCGUGUCACCGCGCUCAGCGCGUCACCACGGGACCGGAGCAACCAUCCGCCGCUCUUCUCGUGCCCUGCAACGUCGGAACGGUCGACGUCCGAACUCCGGCCGCCGUAGCCGAGCUCGUCGGCGUCAGCUCCGGCCAUCCCAGCUACCGCUGCUUGCUGGAAUGGAUGCGCGCGUGUGCCAGCAAUCUGUAGCCGCAAACGGCGCGCCAAACCAUCGACCGUGGGCAAAUCCCGAGCCCUCCGCCGUCUCGGGCUUCGCCGGCGUCGAGCCGUGGACCAAGUCCGGCGGGUUUGAACCCGUUGACCAGGGGUUUGACCUCCCCUGGUUGACUGACGUGUGGGCCAGGCCCCUUUUUAAUUAGUGUUAGAUUUAGUUAGUCCUAAUUAACUUAGUUAAGUAAAUUAGACAUUGACAUGCGGGCCCAGGCUCUAAUUAACUUAAGUUAGUUAAUUAGUCACUGACCAGUGGGUCCCACUGGUCAGGUUUGACCCGGACGCACCCUGUUGACUUGCUGACGUCACACCGACGUCAUGUUGACGUAGUAAAUGCUUUUCUGGUUUUUCUUAUUUUGAAAUGAUUUAGAAAUUCCAGAAAAUAGUUAAAACUUCUAAAAAUCAUAGAAAUUCAACCGUAACUCCAAAUGAAAUAAUUUAUAUAUGAAAAAUUAUCAGAAAAAUACAAGGAAUCCAUCUGUACCAUUUUCAUGCAUGUUUGAGCAACUUAAACUCACUGUUUAGUCAAAAACAUGAUAAUGCACUAUUUGAAUUCAUAGUUUGAAUUUGAAUUUGAACCUAGUGUUCAAACCAAAUCCAUUUAACAUGCUACUAGUUGCAUUAGCUCAAACCACAGCAUAUUGACAUGUCAUGAUCAUGCAUCAUAUUGUGCAUUGCAUUGAUUGUGUUUCUUUCUCUGUUGCCGGUAUUUGUCCCCUCUCGAUAGACGUUGUACCGACGAUGUGAUCGUUGACACUGAUGAAGACCCAAUGAUAUCUUCAGAAGUGCCAGGCAAGCACAACCCCCUUGUUCAUUCCGAUACAAGCCCACUCUCUCGCUCCUGCUCUCUUUUACUGCAUUAGGACAACAACGAUUCAUCUGUUACUUGUUGCGGUAGUUGAACCCCUUAUCCUCUGCAUGACCUGUCAUUGCCACAGUAAUUAGAUGAAACCCACUAGCAUGAGUAGGAGUUGUUUGAGCCCUGAUGUGCCUACUCAUUCAUGCUUGUUUGUCAUGCCUGCUACUGCUUAGAGUUGAGUCAGGUCUGAUUCAACGGGGAUGGAUCGGAGGUGUGUAAACAUGUCCUAUUGUGUGUGAGCUAAGUGUGUGAACACGUUUUGGUAAAGGUAGCGGUGAGAGGCCAUGUAGGAGUACAUGGUGGGUUGUCUCAUUGAAACCGUCCUCAGGAACUGAGUUCUGUGUUUGUGAUCCAUGAAAGUUAUAUGUUCCUUGAGUUGUUCCCCCCUUCAGUUAUAUUCCGACCUUCGUCUAUCACUUGAUAGUCAGAAGUAGUCGUGCAUUCAUGUUCAUCAGUGCCUUUUACUUCUGUGGUCCAUCAAGCCAUUCUAUUCGGAAUGACUAGGAGAAACAAACUCCAGUACCUCAUCCAUUUCUGGGAUCGGGUCAAAGUGGUUGUAUUCCGCAGAUCAAAAUGCCAAUCCAGCUUUUGUUCUGUUCUACCCUGAAGUAUUGCCCACUUUAUGUCAAGAGCGUCGUGAGAAUUGCACCUCUCUCAUGAAUUCUUGACGCAGUGAUACUUCUUACCAUCAUUGUUCAUUCCUCGGUUCCCGUGUUAUUGUAACCGGAAUGCCGGCACGUGAGUCGUGAUGUGUGAAAUCAAUACUCCUAGCAACUGUGUUGCUUGGUAGUUAAUGGACACUAUUCUCAUUCUUAGCGUGUUGGUUAUCAAAUCAUCAUUCUAAGAUUGAUCGUGCUACCUAGUCCAUAUUUUUGGUGCACACUUUGAUCAAUGGGUUAGGAUUGUGCCAAUCCCUCACUCUUUGAUCAUAUCGUCUUGCCCUGAAAAGCAAGAUUGUUCUCGAGCUUAAUAACAUACCGGUGGUUCGUGAUUUUUCGAAUAUCUUCUCGGAAGUGUUACCAGGUUGUCACCUGACCGUUAUGUUGAGUUCGUGAUCAAGUUAGUUUUUCAAUAAACCAUUUUUCUCCAAGAAUCUGUGUUGGAUACCCCUGAGCUAGUUGGUUAAGCUUAACAACAACCUGGAGAGUUGGAAGAUGAAAACUUGUCCGACUUAGUUCAUCCCUAAGGGAUAUCCUUGUGUGAGUGUGUGUUGAAGAAAGAUGAUAUCUUCACCAAUUGGUCCUCGUGAUCAGUUGUUGGAUCUAUUAUCUUGUCCAAAUCUUGAUUUGAGUGUGGGCUAUCGUCAAAUCAAAUCAGAACCAACGAUGUUCGUAAUGUUGUCUUACUUACGGUUGUCCCUUGAGCAUACACCAUUAUAUCUUUGGUCUGACCAAUACUAUCACAUUGUUCACAUAGUGGUGGAAGUCCAGUGAUAUGGAAAUUACGAUGAAUUGUUGUUGAUCCCAUCAGCGGCAUUUUGUCUCCUCCAUGAUUGUGUUGAACAUCCAGCUAGUGUUGGAAACUUUAUAAGCAUUGCCCUCAUGUCCCGAUCAUGAAGCAUAUGUCCGGUUGAAAGAUGUGACUUCCUCUAAUUCAUGUGCAUCUGAUGUAAGUUGCCGCCGUGAAUUCGAGAAAGUUUGUUUUUGCUUCCUCUGGAAUCAUCCCAAGUCAGUCAUGCAUGUGUGAAGUAUUCUAUGGUCUGAUAGACUGAUCAUCUACAUUCUAUACGUAUCCCUAGCACACCAAGCCACUGAUUGAUUUGUUCAAGGAGAAGAAGUUUCUUCUUAAGGGUUAGACCUACGCAAGGACUUCGAUAUCCUCGUUGAUGGUUCCCCCUGAACUCGGUAGUGUUUCAUUUUAAGACUACCAGGUGACCAUGCUUGUCUAGGACAACGUGUUCACAUGCUUGUAGCAGAACCGGCUCAUGUUUUGGAGCUUACUACCGUAGUUCAUUCCCCCGAGAAUCUCGCAAUGUCAUCUCGUCGAUUUGUGUUGCAAACCUUCAUUUUCCUUUCUAGACUCGAUGAGUCUGGAAUAUCCUGUCACCAACCAGAUCUGAAUCUCAGGCAGAUAUGAUGGUUGGAGCAUUUUCCAAGAACUAUAAUAUUGGUCUCUCGAUAACCGGUAAAGUGGAUGUCGUGGCCAACACAUCCAGCCGGAAGACCUAUUACUGUAGUAUCUCGAUUGAAGAAAGUUGGCCACCUUCCCAUGAGGAUUUCGUAGGAUUUACCUCCGUAGUUAAUCCUUACGGAUUCUUGUGCUCCCGAAGUCCGACCUCUUACUUGAUGUCCUAGAUACCAAACCAUAUCAAUAAAUGAGCUAUCCUAGCGCAUCAAGGAGAACAUUAGAAGCAGAGUGCUAAAUGUCUCUCGGUCGAUCAUCCAGAUUUUGUUUCCUUGGCUUCGCUAAGGUGAAAUCUGAGAAAGUGUUAUCUUCCUUUGCAUCUGCAUUAUCCAUCACCAUUCAUCAUGGUAGCAUGUUGUGUUGCCAGGAUCCUUGACAUGGAUGUUGGUAAGACCUUGAUGAGUAUGGAAAUGCUCAAGUUCUUGAGAGCAUGCUCAGGCACUAGGUUCUGUUGUUGUCGUUAACUGGGAUGUGCCUCCGUUCUCUCAGUUGUUCGAUAGCCAUCCGAUUGGUGGAAUCACCUUUGCCGGUGAACCUUCUCCCCAGUUACUAGAAUCAUUCCCAACAUUUGCAUUUUGUUCCCAGCUUGCACCUCAGUAGUUGUUGUUCAUGGUCAUCUUCAAAAGUGGACUUACCAUGGGUCUCAUCCAUUUCUGAUGAUAAGCAAAAAUCAUCCAUUGCGUUGUCUUCAACAAGGUAGUCCACAUCAUCCAUUCUAGUCCGAGUAUGUCAUUCUUUCAAACUCCUUCAAAAGAUUGAUUGUAAAUUGCCUUAAGCUGGUAUGAAGAGUUUCAACGAUCUUUGAAUCAAAAGUAAUUCUUUUUGCCACUUAAGGGAAUAGUUCCUCGAGUCACCUUCCCCGAGGUGCCCUGUUUUAGAAUCAUGGCAAUUUCCCUCGCUACUUUGAAACCCUCGUCAAAUUAUUUCUUCUAUCGCUCCUGAUGCAAGUUUUGCCUCUCAGUUCGCGAGAUGUUUCUAUGUAUCACUCCAUGAGUUGAUCCUGAGUUGUUUGAUCUUCGAGAAGAUCGAUCCUUCUAGAGUUUUCCCUUCCCUCUCGUUGUCAUGUUGGUUGGAGUUCUCAGAGCAAGACAUCAAGACAAUGAUGGUGAUCGGAUCAACAACCUUAUGAGAUGCAACUUGGAUCGUGAAGACCGUGUUAGUUGUGCCCCUCUGUCUUCUUACCUCACGUCUUGAAUCUCGGGACGAGAUUUUUGUUAGUGGGGGUGAGUUGUCACAGCCCUAGAAUUUGCUUGUAGCUAUUUACCUGAGUGAGCAUCAUGCAUCAUGUCUAAAUUCUGAAAGUUGAAUUGAGGUUAGUUGAAACCCUCAUAAAUCACUUCAAAAAUAAUUAACAUUAAAAUCUUUUCAAAGAAGUCCAAGAAAAUGUUCCUCUUAGUCUUUGAAAAUAUUGGCAAGAGGUAAAACCUAAAACAAUAUUUUUGGAAUCUCAGAGAUAUUUAUUUUGGGCCUUUGAUUUAAUCCAAUAAAUAUUUGAAUUGGAUCUAUAUUUAUUAUAUAAUAAAUAUAUGUUCAAUAAUUCUGAAAAUUGUUGUGUGGAUUUGGAUAAAUCCAUUUAAUUCACACAAUUAUUUUUAUGAAUUUUGAAAAUGGUUUGGUCUUGAACUAAAUCAAAACAUAAUAGCAAAAAUAGAAAAACAGAACAAAAAUAGAAAUAGGAGAG